GGACUACUGGGGUAUCUAAUCCCGUUUGCUCCCCUAGCUUUCGCGCCUCAGCGUCAGUGUCGGUCCAGGAAGCCGCCUUCGCCACCGGUGUUCCUCCGGAUAUCUACGCAUUUCACCGCUACACCCGGAAUUCCGCUUCCCUCUCCCGAACUCAAGUCUCGCAGUAUCCUGUGCAGUUCCUCAGUUAAGCCGAGGGAUUUCACACAAGACUUACAAGACCGCCUACGCGCCCUUUACGCCCAGUAAUUCCGAACAACGCUUGCCACCUCUGUAUUACCGCGGCUGCUGGCAC
rnacentral:rRNA from 1 species